AUUUCAGCAUCCGCCCUUCCGCCGACUUUGAAGAUAUAGCUGUACUGACAAUAUCCCACCUCUUCUAAUUACAUGUUCUUAUGUUCUCUGUUUAAAAGUGGUUGUGGUGUGAAAAGACAGUGU